rnacentral:rRNA from 1 species
AUAAACGCUGGCGGCGUGCCUAAUACAUGCAAGUCGAUCGAUAGAAGUCCAGCUUGCUGGACGGAAAUAGAGGCGAACGGGUGAGUAAUACGUAAGCAACCUGCCCACGAAGACCGGGAUAAUCCCUGGAAACGGGGGACUAAGACCGGAUAGGUACACAGACCGCAUGAUCUGUGUAUUAAAGGUGAGAGACACUGGUGGAUGGGCUUACGGUGCAUUAGCUGGAUGGUGAGGUAACGGCCCACCAUGGCGAUGAUGCAUAGCCGGGCUGAGAGGCUGAACGGCCACAUUGGGACUGAGACACGGCCCAGACUCCUACGGGAGGCAGCAGUAGGGAAUUUUCGGCAAUGGGGGCAACCCUGACCGAGCAACGCCGCGUGAGUGAUGAAGGUCUUCGGAUUGUAAAGCUCUGUUGUAAGGGAAGAACGGCAUCUAGAGAAUAGAUGAGUGACGGUACCUUACCAGAAAGCUACGGCUAACUACGUG